rnacentral:rRNA from 1 species
ACAGUCGUAACAAGGUUUCCGUAGGUGAACCUGCGGAAGGAUCAUUACCGAGUGCUACGAGCGAGAGCUCGUUACCUCCCACCCUUUGUGAACAUACCUCUGUUGCUUUGGCGGCUCUCGCCGCGAGGGGAGGCCCUGAAAAGGGCCCGCCCCCCUCGCGCGCCCUCCGCCAGAGGACCUUCAAACUCCAGUCAGUAAACGUCGACGUCUGAUACACAAGUUAAUAAACUAAAACUUUCAACAACGGAUCUCUUGGGUUCUGGCAUCGAUGAAGAACGCAGCGAAAUGCGAUAAGUAAUGUGAAUUGCAGAAUUCAGUGAAUCAUCGAAUCUUUGAACGCACAUUGCGCCCCUUGGCAUUCCGAGGGGCAUGCCUGUUCGAGCGUCAUUACAACCCUCAAGCUCUGCUUGGUAUUGGGCGCCGUCCUCUCUGCGGACGCGCCUCAAAGACCUCGGCGGUGGCUGUCCAGGCCGCUGCAAGCGUAGUAGAAUACACCUCGCUUUGGAGCGGCUGGCGUCGCCGCCGGACGAACCUUCUGAACUUUUCUCAAGGUUGACCUCGGAUCAGGUAGGGAUACCCGCUGAACUUAAGCAUAUCAAUAAGC